rnacentral:rRNA from 1 species
UACGAAGGGGGCUAGCGUUGCUCGGAAUCACUGGGCGUAAAGCGCACGUAGGCGGCUUCUUAAGUCAGGGGUGAAAUCCUGGAGCUCAACUCCAGAACUGCCUUUGAUACUGAGGAGCUUGAGUCCGGGAGAGGUGGGUGGAACUGCGAGUGUAGAGGUGAAAUUCGUAGAUAUUCGCAAGAACACCAGUGGCGAAGGCGGCUCACUGGCCCGGUACUGACGCUGAGGUGCGAAAGCGUGGGGAGCAAACAGG